rnacentral:rRNA from 1 species
GAUGAACGCUGGCUACAGGCUUAACACAUGCAAGUCGAGGGGAAACGACGGGGAAGCUUGCUUCCCCGGGCGUCGACCGGCGCACGGGUGAGUAACGCGUAUCCAACCUGCCUCUGACUGAGGGAUAACCCGUCGAAGGUCGGCCUAAUACCUCAUGGCAUCGUCUGCGGGCAUCCAACGACGAUUAAAGAUUUCAUCGGUCAGGGAUGGGGAUGCGUCUGAUUAGCUUGUUGGCGGGGUAACGGCCCACCGAGGCUACGAUCAGUAGGGGUUCUGAGAGGAAGGUCCCCCACAUGGGAACUGAGACACGGUCCAAACUCCUACGGGAGGCAGCAGUGAGGAAUAUUGGUCAAUGGGCGGGAGCCUGAACCAGCCAAGUAGCGUGCAGGAUGACGGCCCUAUGGGUUGUAAACUGCUUUUAUGCGGGGAUAAAGUGAGGGACGUGUCCUUCAUUGCAGGUACCGCAUGAAUAAGGACCGGCUAAUUCCGUG